CUACGGGGGGCAGCAGUGAGGAAUUUUGCGCAAUGGGGGGAACCCUGACGCAGCAACGCCGCGUGAGUGAUGAAGGCUUUCGGGUCGUAAAGCUCUGUCAAGUGGGAAGAACCUAUGCAGUGUUAAUAUCACUGUAUACUGACGGUACCACUGAAGGAAGCACCGGCUAACUCCGUGCCAGCAGCCGCGGUAAUACGGGGGGUGCAAGCGUUAUUCGGAAUCAUUGGGCGUAAAGGGCACGUAGGCGGCUUGGUAAGUCAGAUGUGAAAGCCCGGGGCUUAACCCCGGAAGUGCAUUUGAUACUGGCAGGCUUGAGUAUGGGAGAGGGAAGUGGAAUUCCUGGUGCAGAGGUGAAAUUCGUAGAUAUCAGGAGGAACACCGGUGGCGAAGGCGACUUCCUGGACCAAUACUGACGCUGAGGUGCGAAGGCGUGGGUAGCAAACAGGAUUAGAUACCCUAGUAGUC
rnacentral:rRNA from 1 species